UACGUAGGGUGCAAGCGUUGUCCGGAAUUAUUGGGCGUAAAGCGCGUGUAGGCGGCUUGGUAAGUCUGCUCUGAAAGCCCGGGGCUCAACCCCGGGAGGCGGGUGGAUAUUGCUGAGCUCGAGUCCGGAAGAGGCGAGUGGAAUUCCUGGUGUAGCGGUGAAAUGCGCAGAUAUCAGGAAGAACACCCGUGGCGAAGGCGGCUCUCUGGGACGGUACUGACGCUGAGACGCGAAAGCGUGGGGAGCGAACAGG
rnacentral:rRNA from 1 species